CAACAUGGUUUCUCUUCAAUCCCACGCAUAAAUCUAUCGCCUUUUACUAAAGAUUUCCGUGGAGAGGAACACUCUAAUGAGUCUAUCGACAUAUUUCAUAGCUCUGCCAACGGCAGGGUA